AUCGAUGAUUUUGAUCCUUGUUAUACCUAAAUGCUUAUUUUAUGUUGCAGACGAUUUUCUUUAAUGAAAGAUUCAAUUUUUUAAUUUUUUCUUGUAUUCCGAUGCCUGAAGAAGGCCCAAUAAAGGUGCCGAAACGUCGCUGAAGGAAUA